GAGUUUGAUCAUGGCUCAGAACGAACGCUGGCGGCAGGCCUAACACAUGCAAGUCGAACGAUAAGCCACCUUCGGGUGGUGGACAGUGGCAGACGGGUGAGUAACGCGUGGGAACGUGCCUUUCGGUUCGGAAUAACCCAGGGAAACUUGGGCUAAUACCGGAUACGCCCUUCGGGGGAAAGAUUCAUUGCCGAAAGAUCGGCCCGCGUCGGAUUAGCUAGUUGGUGGGGUAAUGGCUCACCAAGGCGACGAUCCGUAGCUGGUCUGAGAGGAUGAUCAGCCUCACUGGGACUGAGACACGGCCCAGACUCCUACGGGAGGCAGCAGUGGGGAAUAUUGGACAAUGGGCGCAAGCCUGAUCCAGCCAUGCCGCGUGGAUGAUGAAGGCCCUAGGGUUGUAAAGUCCUUUCGGCGGGGAAGAUAAUGACGGUACCCGCAGAAGAAGCCCCGGCUAACUUCGUGUCAGCCGCCGCGGUAA
rnacentral:rRNA from 2 species